GAUUAUGCAUUUAUUUGAUCAACCUGUCAGUAUUCCACAAUCCAGGAAACUCCAUUUUGAAUUACCAGAAAUAAUUCAGAUACAGGCCAAGGAUGGAACUACUUUGUAUGGGGCAUUAUACAACCCAGAUCCAAUGAAGUUUGGACCUCCUCCAUACAGAACUAUGAUUGAAGUGUAUGGUGGUCCCAGUGUACAGCUUGUGUGUGACUCGUGGACAAACACGGUUGACAUGAGAGCUCAGUAUCUACGAAGCAAAGGCAUCUUAGUAUGGAAGAUGGACAAUAGAGGCACUGCUCGACGAGGACUCAUGUUUGAGGGUGCACUCAAACAUAAAUUUGGCCUCGUUGACGUUGAUGAUCAAUUGACAGGUGCUGAGUGGCUCCAGAAACAAGGGCUUGCUAAACAGGGCCACAUUGGAUUAUAUGGAUGGAGCUACGGUGGGUAUCUCUCAGCUAUGGCGUUGGCAAGGUACCCUGAGGUAUUCAAAUGUGCUGUUUCUGGUGCUCCUGUUACAUCAUGGGACGGAUAUGAUACAUUUUACACAGAAAAGUAUAUGGGCCUACCAUCUGAAAAUCCAUCAGUCUAUCAAGAGGGCUCCGUAAUGCACCACGUUGACAAGAUCAAAGGGAAGCUUUUACUCGUGCAUGGCAUG
rnacentral:misc_RNA from 1 species